rnacentral:rRNA from 1 species
UACAGGGGGUGCAAACGUUGCUCGGAAUUAUUGGGCAUAAAGCGCACGUAGGCGGUCCUCUAAGUCGGGUGUGAAAGCCCGGGGCUUAACCCCGGAAGUGCACUCGAAACUGGAGGGCUUGAGUAUGGAAGAGGGUCUCGGAAUUCCCGGUGUAGAGGUGAAAUUCGUAGAUAUCGGGAGGAACACCAGUGGCGAAGGCGGAGACCUGGGCCAAUACUGACGCUGAGGUGCGAAAGCGUGGGGAGCAAACAGG